rnacentral:snRNA from 1 species
AUACUCUGGUUUCUCUUCGGAUCAUAUAAAUCUUUCUCCUUUUACUAAAGAUUUCCAGGGAGAGGAAGAGUUACGAGUGUCAAGGAAUUUUUUGAGGCUCCACUUCGGUGGAAUU